rnacentral:lncRNA from 1 species
AGUUCCAAUGAGAUCAUGAAUCUUCUGAGUGAAGACAUGUGUUAUGCAUUCCAGCUCAUUGUCACUUAAUGAGGGCUUAAUAAAUCCCAUCAGUUUGCACAUCAUGUGGGCCAGACAAUAUACCCCCAUUUCCAUCAGUAUCGGCAUCCACCGACACAUCAUUUGAGACCAAAUAAACAAGAUUCCUCCGCACCAUUGAAAAUGUAAUCAUGUAAUAAUAAAAUAAGGCACAAAUCCCUUAAUAUAAGGGCCAACUCCCAUCAGUAUCAACCAUAGGGAUCACAUCAUGUGAGAGCAAAAUAAACUUCCCAAGAACAGCUCGUAACAGAUAGGUAAAAAUAAUAGAGCUCAGAAUUGACUAAGUCAUUAGAAAUAAUAACAAAGUCCUCCUGCUGAGCAAUACUAGCCAACCAGAAGCAAGAAUACUAUCAAAUACAUCAUUAACAGUUGCCUAGAAUAGUAUCAGAAGAAGAAAUGUGCCAUGGCACAUGAGAUUGACAACAAUUUAACUCCAAAACCCAAGAAUUAAGCUGGCAAAAGUUCAAAAUCAAAGAAAAUAAAUACAAAACAACUUACAGAACAAGUUAAACAUUUGUACAUAACAAGUCCAAAUCUAGGAUCACCAUGGCACAUGAGGGCUGACAACAAUUUACAUCCAAAAUCCAAGAAUUAAACAAGUUACAUAACAAGUUAGGCAAAUAUACACAACAAGUCCAAAUUUAGGAUCACCAUGUCAAAAAACCAUAACUUCAAAAACAUCAUUAAAGAUGCCCGCAAAGAGGGCAUCCAAUAUUACACCACAGAUCAUAUAAUUUAAAGAUGUCCAACCAUAAGUCCAAGAAAAAAGCCUACAACAAAGAAAACUACAACCAGAAGGAGGGUACCAUCACGUGCACACCCAUUCGUGGGGAAGCCAAUAAGGAUUUUGUCCUCUUUAAACUUAUUGUCAUCGUAUUGGUUGCGAGAGGAGCAAGAAACUUAUAGAUAGCUAUUAAGUGCAGCAAUGGCCUCCUCUUUAGUUGAGAACUUUUUGUAUAAGGCAUACUUAUACUCGAAGACUUUCCGCUAACACUCAGUCCAGGAGUCAUAAAUUUAUCGUCUACACCCCUCAAAAACCACAU